UACAGAGGGGGCAAGCGUUGUUCGGAAUUACUGGGCGUAAAGGGCGCGUAGGCGGCCCGCUAAGUCGAACGUGAAAUCCCCGAGCUCAACUCGGGAACUGCGUCCGAUACUGGCGGGCUUGAAUCCGGGAGAGGGAUGCGGAAUUCCAGGUGUAGCGGUGAAAUGCGUAGAUAUCUGGAGGAAUACCGGUGGCGAAGGCGGCAUCCUGGACCGACAUUGACGCUGAGGAGCGAAAGCUAGGGGAGCAAACGGG
rnacentral:rRNA from 1 species